rnacentral:tRNA from 2 species
CCCCUCGUAGCUUAAUGGAUAAAGCAGGACUCUUCUAAGGUCUUGAUGGGGGUUCGAUUCCCUCCGAGGGGACCA